rnacentral:lncRNA from 1 species
GACACCUGGAAAAGACCAAAUGGGUAAUUACAGACAGAGUGCUGGCUUCAGAGGCCAAAAUGGAAAAGCUGACGGAAGCUGCAGGCUCUAUAAGAGACGCUGCCUGGGAGGCAUGUGACGACUUUGAGCGGGUCUGUGAGGAACGUAUCCUGCUGUACACCCACUUCCUGAGAAAGAAGUGCUCUGAGAUGAGAGAGAAAGUUGGAGAGGCUGAGAAAGCUGGAGUGGACUGGACUGAACGCCACCUCGGGCAGCUGAAACGUGAAGUGUCUGAGUUAAGGAGGAGAGAGAGUAAAAUCUGUCAGCUUUCACAAACAGAGGAUCCCAUUCAGUUGCUUCAGGGCUUCCAAACCCUGGGCGAUCUCCCUGUGCUCACAGACUCGCACAGAGAGCUUGACAACCUGACAAAGUUUGUCACUGCACAAAAGAAUAAAAUGAAAAAGAUGUGCGACGAAGAAAAAAAAGAUCUGAUGGUUUUUUCUGGAAAAAUCAACAGUAAGUGUGAUCAUUUGGGAUCAUUUGAGAUAUUUAAACAUGAUAACUGUGGUCUCACCUUGUUUACUUAAAAACUAUGUUUUUUGUGUUUUUCCUUACAAGUGUCAAGAAGGACAAGGCGGCAGGAGGGACGGACAAGGACAGAACUUCUGAUGAAAU